GCUGGGCAUGGUGGCGCACACCUAUAAUCCCAGCGGCUUGGGAGGCUGAGACAGGAGAAUUGCAAGUUCAAAACCACCCUGAGCAAAAGUGAGACACUAAGUGAGACCCUGUCUCUA
rnacentral:sRNA from 1 species